AAUCACCACUGCUGUGGCCGGAAGGGAGAACAGGAGAGCAGUUUUGAAUGCCCUGAGUUUGAGGUGCCUUCAAGACACCAUAUGGGCACCCGGGACAGACCCCGGGAGAGGCCCUGGGAGCCCUCAGCCUGUGAGUGGGUGGAUCCUAUUCUGAGCUGGCAGAGCUGGCAGAGAAGCUCCCAGACAAGGGCGAGGCCUGGGAGAAGAGGCGGAGCCGGCAGGGAAGCAGUGAGUUGCGAGGGACCCCGGCAGCCAGGGUGGCGGUUGACCUGACCGUGGAGCUCACACUUCCCUUACUAGAACUUUCGAGCCUCCCUUAUUCAACCCAGCAAGUCCCCUCUCCCUCCUCUUAUCACCUGAGGCAUUUUUGUUCCUUCUCUGGAACCAGCUCCCUUCUGCAUCAGGGUGCGAGGUCUCCUCUGCGCGACCACCCUGUGGAAGCUGGCAGAGGUGAAGCAGAGCUCUGCCAAGCCAAGGUGUGGCUGCGGCGUGGUUCCUUCUGACCUUUACGCCUCGGAGACGUUCUAAUAGUUUUCCAUAGUUUUGUUCUCAAGGACAAAUUGAAUACUGGAAGUUGGGCUCCUUUGAGAGCAGGUAGCUUCCCCCACGUCUGAUGAAAUGGCCACUCUAUAUGCAGACACAGGUAGAUGCUCAUAUUGUUUUCAGUUGUUGAUUUGUCGUAAGUGGUGUCUGCAUUAGUACGUUACUGGUCCGAGGAGAGACGGGUGUUCACCCGCAGAAUUCACCUGAGCGGUUCAUAUUGAAAAGCCGCUAUCACUGAUUGACAUCGGUUUGAUUUUAAUGGCAACAUAGGUAGUGUUACCUUUACUGCAGUUGGAACAUGAAUUCAAGUCGAUUAUUAAGGGGCCCAUGCCCUUCCUUUAGAGAGUACUUUUUUUAUAAUAUGAUGUUUUUAUUCUGCAUACAGUGAAUUUUGAAAAGGAAUAUUCUAGAGUACUUCAUAAUCACUUCAGACGCAAUGACAAGGCCACAUUUUUUCCUCAUCCGCUCCUCUGGAGUCCUUCAGAGGUGAGGGUGGGUGGAUAACAACUGCUGGCAUCUAGAGGUUGGAGGCUGAGCUGCAGUGCUCAGGGGAAGCCCCUGCCCGGAGUCAUCCUGCCUGAUGUGAGUGGGUGCCAUUGAGAAACCCUGCCAUGGGGUCAUGUCCUAGCUGGGCCAUGGCCAAGGUGCAAGAACGGAUGCUUCUAGUGCUGCUGAUGGGUGUGGUCCAUCCAAGACAGUGAAUGAAUAAAAGUGCGUUCGUCUGU